rnacentral:rRNA from 1 species
GAUGAACGCUGACAGAAUGCUUAACACAUGCAAGUCUACUUGAAUUUGGGUUUUUAACUUAGGUUUGGGUGGCGGACGGGUGAGUAACGCGUAAAGAACUUGCCUCACAGCUAGGGACAACAUUUAGAAAUGAAUGCUAAUACCUAAUAUUAUGAUAAUAGGGCAUCCUAUAAUUAUGAAAGCUAUAUGCGCUGUGAGAGAGCUUUGCGUCCCAUUAGCUAGUUGGAAAGGUAACGGCUCACCAAGGCGAUGAUGGGUAGCCGGCCUGAGAGGGUGAUCGGCCACAAGGGGACUGAGACACGGCCCUUACUCCUACGGGAGGCAGCAGUGGGGAAUAUUGGACAAUGGACCGAGAGUCUGAUCCAGCAAUUCUGUGUGCACGAUGAAGUUUUUCGGAAUGUAAAGUGCUUUCAGUUGGGAAGAAAGAAAUGACGGUACCAACAGAAGAAGUGACGGCUAAAUACGUGCCAGCAGCCGCGGUAAUACGUAUGUCACGAGCGUUAUCCGGAUUUAUUGGGCGUAAAGCGCGUCUAGGUGGUUAUAUAAGUCUGAUGUGAAAAUGCAGGGCUCAACUCUGUAUUGCGUUGGAAACUGUAUAACUAGAGUACUGGAGAGGUAAGCGGAACUACAAGUGUAGAGGUGAAAUUCGUAGAUAUUUGUAGGAAUGCCGAUGGGGAAGCCAGCUUACUGGACAGAUACUGACGCUGAAGCGCGAAAGCGUGGGUAGCAAACAGG